ensembl:lncRNA
GAGCAUCUGACCCCCGGCCAGCCUCAGAGCCAGCACAGGGAGAGACGAGGGCGGAGGGCGCCAUCCGCCGCUGCCUGGCUGUGGCUCAGGUCUGCUGUGUCCACUAGAGGAGGCAGCGGUCAGCGUGAAGGGCAGUGGCUCGGCCAGGUGGGGAGGAUGAGAGCCCAAACCGUCAGUCCACGGCUGGUCCCCGCCUGCGGGGAGGGCUCAAGACUGAGACAAGGGUCGAGGCUGGCAGUGUGGACAGGCGUGGCUGCCGAGGCGUGGAGCCAGCCUGGAGGCCGGGUCCGGGUGGUGGCUUUCGCACGGGGGCCGCUCCUGGGGUGAUAAGGCAGCUGUGGGCGGGCAGGAGAAGGUCACUGGGGUUACGCUUUCUGCUCGAGGCCAGAGUCCCCCGGGGGUGGCCAAGCGGGUAAUUGGGGCUGACUUCACGUUUUUGAAAUGCCGAGGGCCAUGGUCAGGGGGUGGCUUGGGGAGGACGGCAGGGAGGAGCCAUGUGGGGAGACGCGAGUGAGCGGUGCCCCGUCGGGGCCGGCUCCUGCCCCCCCAGCACCAGGCAGGUGUCCCGGGCACAGCCACCCCCCAGGCCUGGCGGGCCCACCCUGCUCCCCGGGCACCUUGGGAACGGGAGUUCCGAGGCUGCCCCGACCAAGGGCGCUGGGGCGCAGCCCCACCCACGGCCGCCCAGCCCCGGGAGGACAGAGAACAGGCGGCCUCUGCUGUCACUCGGGACAGAGCGGCCCCAACCCACGCUUUGCUACCAUCACGACCUCAAUCGACUCUGUGACCCUCAAAACGAACGGCACCGUGUUCUCACCCUGGGCCAAGACCUCCCUUAAGAAAACCACAAAAUUGAAAGUCACACCAGGCAGCUGGCGCUCACAUCCUCGGAGGCGCCGUGCCACCCGAGGCGGCGCCCUCCCCCGGCGGCGGGACAGGUGCAGGGGCCGGCGCGCCCCUCACGCGCCCCAUCGCUGCUGGGAAUGGGAAAAAGGGACUUCUUCAGGCUCACAGACAACUCUCUGUUUGUCCCGCGACACCAAGAAAGGGAAAAAAGAAGCACCGGGAGGUUCUGCUUGUCACCGGCUGCUGGUUCCUCACCCACACUGACCCCAGGAAGUGCUGCUGCCGCCCCCGCUUCUCGGCUGAGGCACCUGAGGCCCAGGGAAGGCCUGGGCGCCGCCUACCUGCACAGCUGGGCACCUGGGCCAUGGCCGACCCUCAGGGGUGUGUUGCCUGCGUGGGGGUGGGGGCCCCGAUGUGCCCACGGACCCACUGCAGACGUAGGUGUCUUCCCUGAGCCCCCAGCAGCUUCCCCGGGGAGGGGGCGCUCACUCCAUUUGUGCCACUCCUUUGUUGCCUGGAGAUGCCCCAGGUGCCAGGCGGGGGUCCUUGUCCUUGUCCCUGUGCCUGCAGAGAGCCUGUGUGUGUGUGACAUUCUGCAUGUGGGGCCAAGGUCAAGCAAGUGGCCAGGGCACGGGUGGGGUCAGCUCCUCCUGCCCCUGGAGGUGGGGGCUGUGGCCUCAGCCCUUCCCCGGGUUCAGACACCCAGUGGGUUGCAUGCCCCCAGCUCCCUCCAGGGCAAGCCUUGGGGUUUUCAUGAGCUGAGCAUGGGGGGCCUCUGAGUGUGCAAAAGCUCUGGCAUUUCACAGACACCUGAUAGGUGUUGUAUGCGUGAAUGCAUGUUCUUGAUGUGUGCUCGCCUGUGCCUCAGUUUCCCCCAGUCGAAGGGGUCACCAUCCAGGUCUCAGGAGCAUCAGGAGUAGGAAAGACACAAACAUGUGUGGCCCGAGGGGCAGGCAUGAGGCUCCCACAGGCCUUCUGCCCAGCCACAGGUGGGCCUCGAGGACACGACAUGUGUCCCAGUCUACGGCCAGUCGAGUGUGUGUGCAGUUGGCGGGCACUGUAGUCACCAGCACAGCCCGUUCAGGACCUGGCCUUGCUGCUCCUGGGGUGGGGGCCUGGGCAGGAGCAAAGAGUGGCAGCCUCCGCCUUCCUGGGCUGUGAGUCACCGGGAGCCCCGCCAGGUG